CCCAGGGCCUUGUGUAUGUGAGGUAAGCACUCUACCAACUGAGCUCUAUCCUCAGCCCCUAACUACUUCUCUUUUAGUUUAGGAACAAUUCUCAUUUUGAGGAGUAAGGUGCUUUUCUAAUAUAUGUAUUUCCCCACCUCACCCCACUUCUCUCUGCCUGUAUGUACAGUGCCAAAUUAUAGUUAGAGCACUAUUUCCAGUUUGGUUCAAUUUUUGGCUUACAUAUAGGAUUUAUAUACAUACACUUAGAUGUGAAGCAUGAUUUCAGAUCUCAAAUCAAGAAUUGGUGUCCUUUUGAAUUAAAGGUUAUCAGUUAACAACUGACUAUAAAUUGCUUUUCCUUACACAACUAUUUUACUUCUUAGUUCUUUAAGGAAUUUUUGAUUGUGAGAAUCUAAACAGUUAUAAUUUAUUUUAAUCUUUUACCCAAGGAUCUCUUAGAAGUGGAAAUUUACUGGAAUAGAAAAUUAGGUGAUCACUAUUGACUUUACUGGCUUACUUAUAAAUUCUGUUACCUCCAUAAAUAUCACUAGAGAAAUAAGUACAAACUUUAGCAUAAGAGGCAUUUUUAUCAGGAAGAUAAAAUAACUAUGUUCAAAUGAGACUUGUCAACUAGAUUUUGAGGUACUAAUGUGCAUAGCACAGAGCUUAUAACCAAUAGUCAUGCAAGUUUGAAUAUAAAGGACCUAAGAGAACACCUAGUUCAAUUUUCUGUUAAUUGCAGAAUCUAAACUAGAACCCAGGUCUCCUUGGCUUUAUCCAGUGCCCAGUGCCCUCUAUUGUACCCAGUUGUUGGCAGUCCUAUACUACCAAAUGCUACUAAUGUUAUGAUCUUGAAGAUCUGUGCCUUAGGAUGCUUGUGUAUUCUGAAAACUUACCAAAACCAACUUAAAGAUGUCAAAUAAGUGGUGGGAGAGUUUCUGCUGAAGUGUAAAAUGCUUACCUACUUAUAAAAUUUUUAACUGAAAAUGUAACUAUAAAUUUAAGAAAACUGACUCUUUAAAAAAUGUAUUUCUCACAGCUCCAGAUCCUACAAAUCCAAAAUCAAGGAGUGAGCAUUUUUAAUUUCUUCUAGUGCCUCUUUCCUUGGUUUGUAGAUCUCUGCCUUCUCCAAGAUCCAUUUUAUGCCUUUAUGUGAUUUUCCUGUGUGUCUCUGUCCUGAUCUCUUGUAAGGACAAUAGUCAGAAUAUAUUAAGGCCCAUCCAGAUCUCAUUUUAACUCCUUAAAGGCCAAGUUUCCAGUGUAUUCAGAUUUUGAGACACUGGGGAUGAGACUUCAACAUAUGGAUUGGGAUGGGAAGGACACAAAACUGAAUCAAUACCCUGUUUAAUAGAAUAUAUUCAGGUCAUCAGAUACUGAUUAUGCCAACAGUUGAGCUAAU
rnacentral:lncRNA from 1 species